AAAUUUUAACCUCCUGAGACUUGUGCCGUCUUCAAAGAAACCACCGA
ensembl:snoRNA SNORD42 Small nucleolar RNA SNORD42